rnacentral:lncRNA from 1 species
GCCGGAUCGUCCAGCCGCUGUCUGCCGCCGUCCGGCCAGCCACCGGCCGCCGCUCCACCCCAGUUCGGACCCCCAUCUCCUCCUCUCCCUCCCCGGUCUAGCCCCCGAGCCUCUAACCCGCCGGAAGAGGAGAAAACCCGCCGGAAACGCCGGGAAGCUUUUCGUCGGAACUCCCUCCUCCGGCCACCAAUCCGGGAAAGCUUGGUAUGGUUUUGUAGGUCUCCAACCCAGCUGCCUUGCCCUAAAAGGACUCACUCCGGUUUGCUUCAGGUAAGGAGAAAUUUGAGGUGGAAGCUCUAGGGCCUUUUUGAUGUUUUUGUUCGAUUGCUUGGAUUUUGGGUUUGUGCUAGUUAGGAAAGUUAUAGAGCAUGAUGAGAGGAAGAUGCUGUUAAAAUUUCAUAGGAAUUGGAGGUCGCCGGAUUUGGCCUCUGGCCGCCGCUGCCGACGGAGCCGCCGCCGGUUUGGGAGAUUUUUAGGGUUUUAAAUGUGGAAUAUUAAGGUGAUUAUAUUGAGGUGAUUUAUGAAAUUUUUGGAUGAGAUUUAGAUAGGUUUGUGAAUUUCCGAAGUUUGGUAUUUUUGGCGGUUAAUUAAUGUAGAAUUAGGCCGUAAGAUUUAAGUCGUAUUUUUGGGGAGGUUAUAUUUACGACUGCCGAGGAUGAUAUUUAAGUUCGGAUCGUUCCGAUUUAAGAAUAUCGAAGUUAGGCAAUGAUGAGCGUGUUUAUGGCUCUCGGGUAAUUUUGCCUAUUUUGAUUAAUUAUUGGAUUGUUAGUUGGGAAAUUAAUAUUAUAUUUGUAACAGGACGUGAGGAGGCUCGAGCAGACGAGACCCCAGAUCGACAUUAGGCUUAGGCCUAAUUUGUGAGUGGGCUUUUGUUUUAAAUAAUGUGCUUGCGAAAUAAUUUAUGUUGUUGGAGAAUAACCGAAAUUGAGAAUUUCGGUGAGUAUAUAUAUAUAUAUAUCCAUAUGUGGAUGAUUAUGAGAAUAAUAUGUAUAUGAGAGAAUGCUAGCUAGCUAUACGUGCUUUUCCACCAUACUGAGGUAAAAUUCCAUUAUGGUGCGACGUGAGCGUUAGACGCAAUCGUCGUAGCCCUAUAUAAAA